CCCUUAGAUGUUCUGGGCCGCACGCGUGCUACACUGAGUGGAUCAGCGGGUCAGGUUGCGCGAAAGCGUUUCCUAAUCUUUAAAUCCGCUCGUGAUGGGGAUUGACGGUUGCAAUUUUCUGUCAUGAACGAGGAAUACCUUGUAAGCGCGGGUCAUCAUCCCGCGCUGAAUACGUCCCUGCCCUUUGUACACACCGCCCGUCGCUCCUACCGAUUGAGUGGUCCGGUGAGGCUUUGGGAUCUGAGCGGAAAGAGCGUUUCGCUGUUUCUGCUCGGAAAACACAGUCGAACCUUAUCAUUUAGAGGAAGGAGAAGUCGUAACA
rnacentral:rRNA from 1 species